rnacentral:rRNA from 1 species
UCAGGAUGAACGCUAGCUACAGGCUUAACACAUGCAAGUCGAGGGGCGAGCAUGACGGAAGCUUGCUUCUGUGAUGGCGACCGGCGCACGGGUGAGUAACGCGUAUCCAACCUGGCCCUUAGUAGGGGAUAGCCGGCGAAAGUCGGAUUAAUACCCUAUGUUUUCCAAUGAGGACAUCUGAGCUGGAACAAAGGUUUACCGCUAAGGGAUGGGGAUGCGUCUGAUUAGGUAGUAGGCGGGGUAACGGCCCACCUAGCCGACGAUCAGUAGGGGUUCUGAGAGGAAGGUCCCCCACAUUGGUACUGAGACACGGACCAAACUCCUACGGGAGGCAGCAGUGAGGAAUAUUGGUCAAUGGACGAGAGUCUGAACCAGCCAAGUAGCGUGCAGGAAUGACUGCCCUAUGGGUUGUAAACUGCUUUUAUGCGGGAAUAAAGUGAGGCACGUGUGCCUUUUUGUAUGUACCGCAUGAAUAAGGACCGGCUAAUUCCGUGCCAGCCGCCGC